GUGGUUGUCAAUGUUUAGCAAUGUGUUUCAUUGUGUGAAAAUUUCGUAGUUUGCAGAGCUUGACCUUUUGUAUCUUUCAAAUCAGCAAAUUGAUAGGUAGAGUUGCUAGCUAGGAUUUUCUUUCUGGUGUGAGCAGUGCCUUAGUUCUGGAUAUGAGGAGAUUUUUCCAGGGAAGGUCAUAUGUGAAACCAAGUUUAAAAUCCUACAAUGGUUUCAUUAUCUGAUAAAAUGAGGGCAAUGAAAAUGAUUAUAGCUUUGCCCCUUCUGUCAUGAAUUAGAUCUGUAGAAGCUAAUUUCUCUAAUCUUGUUCUCAAGUGUCUUCCAAGUUUGUUUUCUGCUACUUCUUCCAUUUUGUGUGACUCUUUCAUUUGUAUAUACAGUCUGAAUUUAAUUUAAGUCUUUGGUUCUUGUUACCUGUGAAGGCUUUACAACUGAUGGCCUCGCUGCUAUUGCUACCAAUUGUAGGAGAUCUCAAUUGCAGCAAAUGUAGCCCAAAAAGAAAUUGAUAAGUACUUUAAGAUACCUGGAGAAGCCCUUCAGCUAAGUCAACCUAUCAACAAUAGUUCCAUAUCGGUCCAAAUGCCGAGGUUUUGCUGUCUCCUCCAACUAAAUACAUCUGCUUAGGACAAAUGGGAAACUUAAUUUGGUUCACACAACACAAAUCUCUUCUUAGCAAAGAAGGGGAGAGCCUGUUCCCCAAGUGCUCUUGGACAAGAGUUUGGCUGCCCAUUCUUACUGGUGCCAACACCAGGCUAAGCAAUAUGGCAAGCACCAGGCUUGUCCCAAGGAUCACAGACAGUAGCUCGACUUGUAGACAUGGAGCUCCAAUGUACUCGACAUUGUAUAAUGUAGAAAGGAGCAAAAGUUGAUAGAUACAGAGAAAGAAGGCAAUCUCCAAAAUUAGUGUAUGAAUAUUUGGGAAAUAAUUCUGUUUGAUAGCAAUUUAUUGAAUUCAUUUAAUAUGUGGUGGGAUUUGAAUUAAUUUGAUUGUUAUA